rnacentral:rRNA from 1 species
UACGAAGGGGGCUAGCGUUGCUCGGAAUCACUGGGCGUAAAGGGCGCGUAGGCGGCCCCGCAAGUCGGGCGUGAAAUCCCCGGGCUCAACCCGGGGGCUGCGCCCGAGACUGCGGGGCUGGAGGACGGGAGAGGCUCGCGGAAUUCCCAGUGUAGAGGUGAAAUUCGUAGAUAUUGGGAAGAACACCGGUGGCGAAGGCGGCGAGCUAGCCCGUUUCUGACGCUGAGGCGCGACAGCGUGGGGAG